rfam:Actinobacterium acIB-AMD-7 AMD-COM-C2625, whole genome shotgun sequence.
CGUGAGACCUUCAUUCAACGGAUCGUCGGGUGCGUACCAACCCGGAGGAAGGAUAAGUA